UACGUAGGGCGCAAGCGUUGUCCGGAAUUAUUGGGCGUAAAGAGCUCGUAGGCGGCCUGUUGCGUCUGCUGUGAAAUCCCGGGGCUCAACCCCGGGCCUGCAGUGGAUACGGGCUGGCUAGAGGCAGGCAGGGGAGAACGGAAUUCCUGGUGUAGCGGUGAAAUGCGCAGAUAUCGGGAAGAACACCCGUGGCGAAGGCGGCUCUCUGGGACGGUACUGACGCUGAGACGCGAAAGCGUAGGGAGCGAACAGG
rnacentral:rRNA from 1 species